CGUGUAAAUCGGGGCGGUAGCGGUGCCUUGUAACCCUCAAUCCGCUAUAGAGGGGAUGAAAACUUGCCGUGAGGGGCAUCGACGUUCAGUCAGCCCUGUACAAGUGGCGUUGACGGUCCGGUCCUGCGCAAUUGAAACCUGUGAACCUCGUCAGGGCGGGAACGCAGCAGCGAUAAGCAGUCAUUUUGAUGUGCCGCAGGGAAGCCAGACCUGAGUUAACUGUACAGUCAGCGUGGG
rnacentral:SRP_RNA from 1 species